CGCCGACCGGGCCGCCGUCGAGGUCGGCGCCGACCGCGUGCUCCGGGUCGCGCCGAUGGACCGCGAGCGGUUCCUCGCCGCCGUCCGCGCC
rnacentral:tRNA from 1 species